rnacentral:rRNA from 1 species
UACGUAGGUCCCGAGCGUUGUCCGGAUUUAUUGAGCGUAAAGCGAGCGCAGGUGGUUUAUUAAGUCUGGUGUAAAAGGCAGUGGCUCAACCAUUGUAUGCAUUGGAAACUGGUAGACUUGAGUGCAGGAGAGGAGAGUGAAAUUCCAUGUGUAGCGGUGAAAUGCGUAGAUAUAUGGAGGAACACCGGUGGCGAAAGCGGCUCUCUAGCCUGUAACUGACACUGAGGCUCGAAAGCGUGGGGAGCAAACAGG